UUGGAGCAUGGCGGCCAUCCAGCUGAAAACUGUCAUUGCACUGCGGAUCACAAUGAACUCAAAGCCACAGAGCUAGUUACUGGUAGAAUAUGGUACCUUUACCACCCAGGAGAAUGCUUGCUGAUAAACUGAACAUGCAUAACUGUGUUUCUCUGUACGGCUUUGCAAGGGAAACAUCAGCAUAACAGACACACAGAGGAUGUAUAAAGCUAUUGAAAACAUAAAAGGGGACGGAGCCUCACAUUCAACACCUGAGUCCCAAAGGGUAGGUCUGGACUUCCUUUCUGUGAAUUAAACAAAAUGGAAGUGGAUUGUUUUCAUCUUGUGUGGAACUAUGGAGGGAAACUGUCUGCUCUGGGCAGUUUACAGAGACCAAGUACUUCCAGCGUACUGGUCUAACGUCUGUACUGGUGGUCCUAGACAGCUACCAUCCACCUUCCUAGCAGAAGAAAAAGAAAAGAAGGGACACCAGAAGACCAGUAAUGUAUCUAUCAUAGCACUAUAGAGAAGAUGUGGACUAAAUCCCGAGCCUCUGGGCUCAUGGAUAUGUUUAGAAAGCUUCCUGGAGCUUGCUGAGACACAUCCCAGCUAGGACAAUUAGGCUAGAUUGACUCUCAGAUACCUUUCAGCCAUGAGCCAUUCUGAGUAAAAAGAACUGGAGAGAUCGAUGAAGCUAAGUUUUCUCCCUGCAGUGAAUCCAGUACACUCUUCCAUGCAGUUAAGCCUAAAGACUCAGGUGGGAUGUCCCUGUGCCAAGGACAGCACUGAGAUUUGCAGGGGUGUUCACUAGGCAGUGAUACAGCAUAUGAAGAGGCAGGGAUCCUGCCUGAUGAUACUUGUGAAGAAUAGGCCCUGUCACCUGAGGGCAACAGGUUAGCUAGCCCCCUCCACCGAGUUGGGGACCUAUAUGAUCUGCAAGAAAAUGACAGGCUGACUUCUCCUAGGAGAGGAAGGAGCCUGGGGGCGUGUUUUAAGCUGUGUGACUCAACCUCUCGGGUCAGUCAUAGAACCUCCUUAGCAUUCUCACUUCUAAAAUUAGAAAUAGCAAUUCCCUCUUUGCAGGGUGGUAGGAAAGACUGAGUGGCACUAGAAGCACACCCAUGUGCCUGGUGAAUAGCUAGCCCCACAGUGCCUUCCUACCUGUGAACACUGCCUGGAGAGCCAAGUCAGGUACCUGCCACCUCUCCAGCCCUUGACGCCCUGCCAGAGAGGGGUUUAUGGAGACCUGCUGAGUCCCUUUGCAUAUCUUUAACAAGUGGAGGGCCCAACAGUAAAUCUUUACCAUCUCCUCUGAAAGUCAGGUUCUCAGGCAGAAAGGUGCCUGAUGGUCUCAGGGUCAGGCAGAGGCAGGUGGAGGAAACAUUUUCCGAGGAAUACAAGUUGGGGGAGUGGCUAGGUGAACCUCAGCCUCACAGGUACUGGUCUUGGAUAAAGUGGAAUAUAUCUAGUGUGUCCUCUGGGCACCUGCUCAGAUGCCCUCAGGCAAAGCUCUGCAGCAGUCAGUGUGCUAAGCCCUUCCUUGGGCCUGAAAUGAAAUCUAACUGCCUCCAAGGGGGAAAAAGAGAAUGCCUACAGGCUCACCUUUGGGCUCCCUGUGCACCACCUGCCUAGGCGAGGCCCUUGGAAGUGCCUGGCCGUCCGCUCUGCCCUCCUCCUGGGAAGGACGCAGGCGUGAGAGAGCUACUUUUAAGGCAGAGAGUUGGGGCCUGACUCACAUCUCCAGAUUUGAAGAGAAGGCUUGACAAUCUUCUGGACAUUCCGAACAUGGGGAUCACAGAGAGCAGAAGGUUUAUUCUCAAACAGGAAGCAUCCAGAGGACUCUAUAACCCGCUCCCCGGAUCAAGGGCAGUGCUGUCCUGGGAGUGGGAAGGGCAGCGCGGAUCUCCUGCAACUGUCUUUAUCAUCAGUACUACUACUACUGCCAGGAGGAUGGGGUCCUGUUCUGAGAGCCACAAUGACUUCCCACCAUGUCCUCCCUGACAUCAUCUAAGCCUACUCCAGUGGACCCCCUGAGCCUGUCACAGCCCAGGGGACCCAUCAGAAAGCCAUGAGAAACUAGCACCUCUGGAAGCCAGAAAGAGGCUCCUGGACGGACAGAGAGAAUUCAAGGAACUCAAGAGGCUGCAGCAGCUGCUGAAAAGGGAGACGGCCAUACCUGCAGGUAACACCACAGCCACCGUGAAGCCUGAAUGGUUGGCUGCCCCGUGGCUAGAGGAAGAAGCCAGAUUCUGCUUUUAUCCCAGUAUCAGAGCAACUGUAAAUCUGUGUGUUCACAGGUUGGAGCCCCAGCCAUUCACGACCUUAAACCACCCGCUGCCACAAUGUUCCAGCCCUUGAAACCCUUCAUAGGAUGAGGGCUACUGGGGCGCUGCCUGGACUGGCUCUCACUUUCUUAAACACUUAGGAUAGAGAGUGGAAAAGCAGGCACGGUACAAAAGGACUCUGGUUUCCAGGAACACCAGCACUUGCCUGCUCCUUGACCUAUGUACCUGACCAUGGCUACACCUAAGUUGCUGGCUGCAAGCAGUUUUUCUGGAGUCCUAGGUGGGGGACAGAGGAGCAGGAACGGGCAGCCACAGAGAACGCAAUGGUGACAUCUUUUCUGAAAAAGAACAGGACCUUGGAGUAAAAACAUCCAAAGAAGCCA